AAUGAACGCUGGCGGCAUGCCUAACACAUGCAAGUCGAACGAAGCCUUCGGGCUUAGUGGCGCACGGGUGCGUAACGCGUGGGAAUCUGCCCUUGGGUUCGGAAUAACUCUCCGAAAGGAGUGCUAAUACCGGAUGAUGUCGAAAGACCAAAGAUUUAUCGCCCAGGGAUGAGCCCGCGUAGGAUUAGCUAGUUGGUGAGGUAAAAGCUCACCAAGGCGACGAUCCUUAGCUGGUCUGAGAGGAUGAUCAGCCACACUGGGACUGAGACACGGCCCAGACUCCUACGGGAGGCAGCAGUGGGGAAUAUUGGACAAUGGGCGAAAGCCUGAUCCAGCAAUGCCGCGUGAGUGAUGAAGGCCUUAGGGUUGUAAAGCUCUUUUACCCGGGAUGAUAAUGACAGUACCGGGAGAAUAAGCCCCGGCUAACUCCGUGCUAGCCGCCGCGGUAA
rnacentral:rRNA from 1 species